AUUGAACGCUGGCGGCAUGCUUUACACAUGCAAGUCGAACGGUAACAGGCCGCAAGCUGCUGACGAGUGGCGAACGGGUGUGUAAUACAUCUGAACGUGCCCAGUCGUGGGGGAGAACUACUCGAAAGACUAGCUAAUACCGCAUACGAGCUAUGGAUGAGAGCGGGGGGCCGUAAGGGCUCGCGCGCUUGCAGCUGCCGAUGUCGGAUUAGGUAGUUGGUGGGGUAAAGGCGCACCAAGCCAACGAUCUGUAGCUGGUCUGAGAGGAGGACCAGCCACACUGGGACUGAGACACGGCCCAGACUCCUACGGGAGGCAGCAGUGGGGAAUAUUGGACAAUGGGCGCAAGCCUGAUCCAGCAAUGCCGCGUGUAGGAAGAAGGCCUUCGGGUUGUAAACUGCUUUUGUACGGAACGAAACGGCGCUGGUUAAUACCCGGCGCUAAUGACGGUACCGUAAGAAUAAGCACCGGCUAACUACGUG
rnacentral:rRNA from 1 species